rnacentral:rRNA from 1 species
AUUGAACGCUGGCGGCAUGCUUUACACAUGCAAGUCGAACGGCAGCGCGGGCUUCGGCCUGGCGGCGAGUGGCGAACGGGUGAGUAAUGCAUCGGAACGUGCCCAGUAGUUGGGGAUAGCCCGGCGAAAGCCGGAUUAAUACCGCAUACGACCUGAGGGUGAAAGCGGGGGACCGAAAGGCCUCGCGCUAUUGGAGCGGCCGAUGUCGGAUUAGCUAGUUGGUGGGGUAAAGGCUUACCAAGGCGACGAUCCGUAGCUGGUCUGAGAGGACGACCAGCCACACUGGGACUGAGACACGGCCCAGACUCCUACGGGAGGCAGCAGUGGGGAAUUUUGGACAAUGGGGGCAACCCUGAUCCAGCCAUGCCGCGUGCGGGAAGAAGGCCUUCGGGUUGUAAACCGCUUUUGUUCGGGAAGAAAUACUCUGGGCUAAUACCCCGGGGGGAUGACGGUACCGGAAGAAUAAGCACCGGCUAACUACGUG